AGGAUCAACGCUGGCGGCGUGCCUAAUGCAUGCAAGUCGAACGUGGUCCUUUCGGGGAUUAACGUGGCGGACGGGUGAGGAACACGUGGGCAAUCUGUCCUGAGGUGGGGGGUAGCCCUCGGAAACGAGGGGUAAUUCCGCAUGUGCACAGUCGCUGUCGGGUGAUUGUGGAAAGGGUUUUCGGACCCGCCUGAGGGGAGCCUGCGGCCGAUUAGCUAGUUGGUGUGGUAACGGCAUACCAAGGCGAUGAUCGGUAGCUGGUCUGAGAGGACGGCCAGCCACACGGGGACUGAGACACGGCCCCGACUCCUACGGGAGGCAGCAGCAAGGAUUUCGCAAUGGGCAAAGCCUGACGGAGCAACGCCGCGUGCGGGAUGACGCUUUCGGAGUGUAAACCGCUUUUCGUGGGACGAUGAAGGACGUACCAAGGAUAAGGCCGCUAACUCGUGCCAGCAGCCGAC
rnacentral:rRNA from 1 species